UCUCUUCCAUAAAAUAAAAAUAAGAAUAAAUAAACUUCAAUACCUACUACCUCAAGCUUUCACAUUGGAUUCAUUACUUGUGUCGUAUUACGUGAAAUCUUACUUGAGUAUUAGCUGGGCACCUGGCUGUGGAAGAUAAAAAAAAUUUGUAACAACAAGUCCUAACUAGUCUAGUAAAAUCAUAUAUAAAUUGCUAUAGAAGUUUGAAAAUCAUAAUCAAACAUCAAUCAAGUUCAAU
rnacentral:lncRNA from 1 species